AGGCAAGAUGGAGGCAUAGCUCCCCUGUGUUGAAUAAUAGCUGUUCUUCAUCUAGCCAAC
rnacentral:pre_miRNA from 1 species